CAAGAGGGAAACCACUGAGCGGUGAACUUAGGCACCUGGGCAGUUGUCUAUUUUUAUUAGCUAGAUUCUGUAAUCUUUCUGUUAUCUUUUUGGUCUUAUAUAUAGCCCCAGUGCGAAUCAAAAGGGGAUUCUUUUGGUAGAGAGAAACGUCCAGAGCUAUUCCACACACCUUGGAGGAGGUUCCUUGGAUGCUUAGGCUCCAAUCUA
rnacentral:lncRNA from 1 species